CCUACGGGGGGCAGCAGUGAGGAAUAUUGGUCAAUGGUCGGGAGACUGAACCAGCCAAGUAGCGUGCAGGAUGACGGCCCUACGGGUUGUAAACUGCUUUUAUACGGGAAUAACGCGCCUUACGUGUAGGGCUUUGCAUGUACCGUAUGAAUAAGGACCGGCUAAUUCCGUGCCAGCAGCCGCGGUAAGACGGAAGGGCCGGGCGUUAUCCGGACUUAUUGGGGUUAAGGGGAGCGUAGGCCGCAUGUCAAGCGUGCUGUGAAAUGUCCGGGCUCAACCCGGGCCUUGCAGCGCGAACUGGCGUGCUUGAGGCCGCGGAACGCAGGCGGAAUUCGUCGUGUAGCGGUGAAAUUCUUAGAUAUGACGAAGAACCCCGAUUGCGAAGGCAGCUUGCUGCAGCGGAACUGACGCUGAUGCUCGAAAGCGCGGGUAUCGAACAGGAUUAGAUACCCGUGUAGUC
rnacentral:rRNA from 1 species